rnacentral:rRNA from 1 species
AGUGAACGCUGGCGGUAGGCCUAACACAUGCAAGUCGAACGGCAGCCCAGUAAGAGCUUGCUCUUACGGGUGGCGAGUGGCGGACGGGUGAGGAAUACAUCGGAAUCUACUUUUUCGUGGGGGAUAACGUAGGGAAACUUAGGCUAAUACCGCAUACGACCUACGGGUGAAAGCAGGGGAUCUUCGGACCUUUCGCGAUUGACUGAGCCGAUGUCGGAUUAGCUAGUUGGCGGGGUAAAGGCCCACCAAGGCGACGAUCCGUAGCUGGUCUGAGAGGAUGAUCAGCCACACUGGAACUGAGACACGGUCCAGACUCCUACGGGAGGCAGCAGUGGGGAAUAUUGGACAAUGGGCGCAAGCCUGAUCCAGCCAUACCGCGUGGGUGAAGAAGGCCUUCGGGUUGUAAAGCCCUUUUGUUGGGAAAGAAAAGCAGCAGGUUAAUACCCCGCUGUUCUGACGGUACCCAAAGAAUAAGCACCGGCUAACUUCGUG